rnacentral:lncRNA from 1 species
UGAGAGUGGGGGCUGCGAGAGGGUGGGGCCGGCCACCUUGGGACCCUCGGGCGUGUCUCCCCGAGUGGGCUGCGGUCAGAGGAGCGUGGGCCGGGGCCUGGCGGUCUCAGAGGGCCAGGGUUGGGGGGUGCGGGUCCGACCGUGGGCGCCCGACCUGGCGACAGGAGGGGGUGUCCAGCGACCCCGGGGCGGGAGAACUGGCGGCUCCCGAACGCGACCUCACAGCCCGCGCGCAGGGCCGGCUCCGGUGCCGCAGUGUCCUCCGGGCCCUGCAGGCCCAGCUCUUCCCAGCCGGGGCCGCUGAACCCUAAGGGCCGGGGCGCGUGGGGAAGCAGGGGCGGGCGACCGGGGUGCCAGAGUUCCGUGCUCUUCCGGAGCGGGGGCCUGUCCCGAAACUGGCCCGAGGGAGGGCCCCUGGGUCUGGGAAGAGUUGGAGGGAGGAGCUCAUCAGUUGAACCGUCCUUGACCUGGUGUCUGUUUGGAAAGGGAUGCGGCCUAAGUUUAAGCUCCCUCCCAGCCAAGUGAGCGGCUCCUCAACAUCGCAGGGCUUUGCACACUCACCUACACUUGCAGCAGGCGGGAAAGGGAAGGAAGCCACCGUCCACUGCCCCUUAUUCUCCUGGCACACUUGGCUGAUUAAGGCAGUGUUCAAGCUCAGGUCGAGGCUGCAGCUGAUUCACCACAACAUGGCAAAUCUUUUUAUAAGGAAAAUGGUGAACCCUCUGCUCUAUCUCAGUCGUCACACGGUGAAGCCUCGAGCCCUCUCCACAUUUCUAUUUGGAUCCAUUCGAGG